rnacentral:rRNA from 1 species
UACGUAGGGGGCGAGCGUUGUCCGGAGUUACUGGGCGUAAAGCGCACGCAGGCGGUCUGGUAAGUUUGGAGUGACAGUGCCCGGCUCAACUGGGCAAGGCCUCUGAAGACUGCUGGACUUGAGGACCAGAGAGGGACAUAGAAUCCGGGUGGAGUGGUGAAAUGCGUAGAUAUCCGGAGGAAUACCAAAGGCGAAGGCAGUGUCCUGGCUGGUAACUGACGCUCAGGUGCGAAAGCGUGGGAGCGAACAGG